UAGUCCACGCCGUAAACGAUGGAUACUAGUUGUUGGGAUUUAUCUCAGUGACUAAGCGAAAGUGAUAAGUAUCCCACCUGGGGAGUACGUUCGCAAGAAUGAAACUCAAAGGAAUUGACGGGGGCCCGUACAAGCGGUGGAGCAUGUGGUUUAAUUCGAUGAUACGCGAGGAACCUUACCAGGGCUUAAAUGUAAGUUGCAUGAUCUAGAGAUAGGUCUUUCUUCGGACUACUUACAAGGUGCUGCAUGGUUGUCGUCAGCUCGUGCCGUGAGGUGUCAGGUUAAGUCCUAUAACGAGCGCAACCCCUAUCGUUAGUUGCUAACAGGUUAAGCUGAGGACUCUAGCGAGACUGCCGGUGCAAACCGUGAGGAAGGUGGGGAUGACGUCAAAUCAUCACGGGCCCUUACGUCCUGGGGCUACACACGUGCUACAAUGGUCGGUACAGAGGGGCAGGCCACUACGCGAGUAGGGAGCGGAAAUCCUUAAAAACC
rnacentral:rRNA from 1 species